GAUCAUGGGCUCAGGAUGAACGCUAGCUACAGGCUUAACACAUGCAAGUCGAGGGGCAGCAUGGUCUUAGCUUGCUAAGGCCGAUGGCGACCGGCGCACGGGUGAGUAACACGUAUCCAACCUGCCGUCUACUCUUGGACAGCCUUCUGAAAGGAAGAUUAAUACAAGAUAGCAUCAUGAGUCCACAUGUUCACAUGAUUAAAGGUAUUCCGGUAGACGAUGGGG
rnacentral:rRNA from 1 species